UUAAAGUUUCGAAUUUGAUAACUCUUAUCAAAAUAUUAUUAUAACAUUCGUAUAAAAUUUUUGCAUAAAAUUAAAUUCUUUCUAAUUCUCUAUGGUUUGUUAUAAUAUUAUAUCAUAAGUAAUUUAACGAGUAAUCGAAUAUCGUAACAACUAGACAAUCGCCAAUAUUUUUGCGGAAUACAAGUUUCUGAAUUACAUAAAAUAUAUUACAUAAAGAAGAUAUCGGAUUGAUAUGUUGCAUUAACUAGAACACUAGAUUUGAUUACGUAACGGAACAGUCUUUUAUGCAAUAAAACGUAGCAAAUGGUAGCCUUUCUUUGUGGAGAAAGGAAUCCAUAUCGUUUAAUUUACUAGGAAUAACCGGAAUCUUCUACCCGGAAAGUAUUGCGUAUUUAGAACUGGAUUUUGUAACAAGUAAAAAGCAAGAAGCGAUUAAUUGUAAUCUAUAAUAAAUAUCCUUAUCAAAUAUCAAAUUAUUUUCGCGAUUCCUAAAAAAAAAAAAAAAAAUAGAAGAAAAAAUAUACAUGACAUUCAACAUAGCUUUUUUUUUAAAAAGGAGCAAAUCUAUAUAAAUGCAGUAAAAAAUUUCUUAUAUUUAUUAUAUUUAUAUAAUUUCUUCAAGAUGUUUUGAAUUCCAAAUGAAUCAUCAGCGGAUUUUCACCAACUGUGACGUAAAAGUAAAAUCUCAUUCUAUAAGAGCAACGACUUGUACAGGUUGUGAUUUUUCGACAGAAUGCAUCGGUACCGUGCACGAUGCGUGGACGUGCUGCAUUAUCUGAUUACACGCACACCUGUGAAAGGUUUCAUUACUUUCUAACAUUAAGCCAUUUUUAACGUCUCGUCGCGCCUUCUAAGUUUAUACAGACACACACACGCACAGUAUUCCAUUAUAAUGCGUCUCGAUCGAUCGUAGAUAGAUGACAGAGGAGUUUCAUUGGUGCCGAUCAUCGGGCUAGAAACUUCAAGGAGAAAUACUUUCACUGUCACACCGUGUUACCACUUGUGCAAUUAUCGCAAACUCUGACUAAGCCGAUUGCCAUACUUUUUUACUUCUUUCUUUUUUCUAUUAUAGAGUUCCCUGGAUUUAACAAGAAAAAUGAAUCGCUUGAAAUGAUUAGAAGAUGAUUGAAUAGAACGAUUUUAUCGCUUGGCAAGAUAACGUAAUACAUCGAGAACUUUAACAUAUUGUACAAGUUGAACGAUUAAGAUAAAAAUUGUUUAAAGCAAUUAAAAAAUUACUGAAGUAUCUGUCACUUAAGGGGUAAAGUAUAAGUCGUUGUUCUUCACGUAUUUGUGCAUUGAUAUUUGUGUAUUUCAGAUCUAUCGAAGGGACGAUAAUGGCAGAAAUAAAAGAAAAUUUUAUUCGAAAAAAUUAUUCAAAAGCUAUUUAGCGUUCUUUCCUUUUUAACGACUCGACUUUUUAGACAUUACGCAAUAUGAAUGUCUAAUUAAUUAUGAAAGGAAGAUGCAAUGGUCUCAACAAAUAACAAGUAUGUCGCUCAAACAUGAGUCGCUUGUUACCUUCUAGGAAUAAGAUUUAUUUGAAUAAUGACGUGUCUGUUACCGUUUUCUCAAUGCCAGUUUCGUUACGUCGAAGGCAUAAAACGAUGGGCGUUCACGCCAACGCUAAAAGUGCCGUGGUAUACGGCACCAGUUCUUGCGGGCCAUCUGGAUCAUAAGAAAGUGAUUCGGGAGCCUUUAUUCUAAAUGAUCGGAUGUUCGAUGGAAUAUUCGAAAUCGAGGAACAUUCUGACUCGAUAUCGAUGAGAUACAGAUACAAGAAUCAUCGUUGCAACGUGAAUUUGAAAUUCCGUAUACAUGUGUACAACAGCUAACGGUACAAUUGUUACGAAAAUAAAGAGGAUUGCAGAUUCGAAGGAAAGAGAAGCGUGCUAUUCAUACGCUAACCGAGAAAAGUAACUCGAAAAGAGAAAGGGAUGAUGAAGUCGACUUCAUGGUUUGCUGUGCAAUUUUGUUAAUAACAUUGUAAAAUUGCUGGCUACGGAAAAACUUUAAUCUGAUGCCAUUCACAUGGUAAAAGGCAACAAUUUCGAUCGGUAAAUUGGUAAAAAUCAUAGGCUUUUUAUCGCCAUCACUGAGUUGAAUGCAUUGAUCUGGAAGGAGUUAUAACAUACAUACAUGGUGCAAAUUAAUUUGUAAUUUUCAUGGAAAGAGCUCUGGUCUCGUCGCUUCUAAAGCGAGCCAUUUAAGGAAGAGGUAUAAAGAAUGAUUUAUAGUGGACAUUCUUAGACUUUCACCGACAUUAAAGAUUCAUCUGUCUGCAAGGGUCGACUUUCAUGCUCGUAGGAGUAACGUUACGUUCACUCACUUUGUUUUUUUCGUCGCGGUUGGCUACGUUUCCGUCUGUUAACGCUUUUCAUGGCUCGUGGAUCAUCAGUGACCCAUGAUAUUCUAGAUAGAAAUAGAACUUUCAUUGAACGGACAAAUAUGUUCUUCGUUAUACUCAAGUAAGAUAGAUGAGCGGAAAGAUCAACGUAUCAGAUGUAUUAAAAUGUUUACUUAGAGAACCUUACAUAGUGUAUAUAGUUAGAGAAAACUAAUGAUAUGAAACGUGUUAAGAUCUAACCAAUUAAGUAUUUGUCAUCUUGAAAUGAAAUUACUUUACAAUUUUACUUAAUAAUUAUUUAAAUCUAAGCACGUUUUAUUGUGCUCAUAAUGUAGUAUUCUCGCAUAUAUUAGUUUAUAAUAGUAUAUAACAUAAUAGCUUGUCAAUUUCAAUAACGCUAAUUAAAUAGGAACUUGAGAUAGAGAUAAUCAUAGCUCCUGUCGCUUGGUUGUCCGAUCAAUAAAUCUGCGAUCUGACAUUUCAAUAAACACGCGAUAUUCUCGCGAAAUAACACGUUAUCUAUUGUAUGGUUAAUCAAUGACGCAUGUCGCGUUUAGAAAAUUAGUCACUCGUCACAGGCUACGAUCACGAAUUGCACAUCGAGAGAAUAAUCGAAGGGUAACGAUCUCUCGGUUGGAAAGUCGCGAAGCUAGGGGGAACAACGGAGUGCAGUCAGCCUCUUUCUUUACGAAUUUUCAUUCUGGCCCCGCUUUCGUCGCCGAUGACCCAACCCAAGACCUACUUUCUGUAAUCAUCCUGUUUCGAAACGGGUACACUCGAACCAAUGUUCGUGACUGUGUAAAACUUAACUUCAAUGGGAACAUGCGCGGCUGCACUUAAAUAGACAUCACUUCUCGUUUUUUAUAUUUCGAUGUAUUCAUUCUGUCAUGCAUUCUGUCAUGAAUAAUGUUUAAUACGUGCAUAAGUUUUGUAAAGAAAUUUAUAAAACUUUGUAAAGACUCCCCUGUUCACGAAAAAUACGAUAUUUAUUGUAUCGCAUGUUUCAAAAAAUUCAUACAGUAAUGGUAAAAAAUGUAUCUCACAUUUGUCUUAUCUUUUUUUACAGAUUACAAAUUUCGUUCACAUUAUUUUCGUGUCACUCUGCAUACCUAUUGGCAAACCAGUCGUGCGUAGAAUGUGAUUAUGAAACGGAGUAAACAAUCAUCUAGCCGUCUUCUACUGGAAAUUUCAUAAUUUCACCCAAUUUCAUUAUCCUUGUUUCGAUAGGAUAUAAAUAAAAUGAAUGUUCUUAAUGCGUGAAUGACGUUCAAGACAUCGUACAUAAAUGUACCUACGACGACACCAUGUUCAGCAUUCGCCGCUAGCAACUCAUCAGCAAUUCGAUUAUUCAUCGGAAUCUAGGUCUGGAGCGAAAAAUACGGAGUAACCAGGCCACAGUCUGUGAAUCAGCAAGACGCUAUCUCCAGAUUGUUCUCUUAGAUCCUUUUCAACGAUCUCUAAUUAUAGAUUAUUGGAACGAUCGGCAAACGAGGAGAAUCAAGGACUAUGUUCUGCAUCAUUAACGAUUACCGUCGAUAAAUGGUCCAAACUCGUGACUUCACGGAAGAUUUCUGUGUGAUAAAAGCCGCCAACUUGCUUCCUAUUCGAUUUGUAUGGAUACUGUGUUCUUGAAACGUCGUUGUGUUUAUAUAUGUCUUAUGUUUGCCUAGCUAUACGCUACUAAUGUUUUUACCUUUGAAGAAUUACAAUUCGCACCUCGUGGACUCGAUACGCGAAAAAUUGACUUUGCUGCGAUAAAUAGGAUAGCAAUUAAUUAUAGAAAGACAACGUUAUUCUAAUAAGAGAUUAAAAAGUGGAAAGUAGUUUUUGUAAAAGGUAUCUUACGGUGAACGGUAGGUGAAGUCAAAGCUUAUCCGAACACGUAUACCCCAUAUAAAGAAAAGGCUGGAGGGCAGGUUGCAGGAUCGAUCGAAGAAGAAGAAACGAGUCUUCGCAGCACGAAGACUUUCACGCGAUGAUGGUCUUGUUAUUAUUUCCUAUUCUUCUGUUCGUGUAAGUGCGUUAUUCACCUAAAUUGUCACAUGACUGUGAAACUAAAAAUCGAUAAAAACGCCUAUCUUCUCGAUCAAUCCCUUUCUUAUUUUUUUAAACGAGGAAAAACGUACAUCUAUCCGCCUUUGUUUGUACUGUUGCAAACAUAUCACGACAUGGUGAAUAAUGCGAGAGGACAAGAUGGUAACGACAAUGGUAGGGUGAAAAGAGCGUGAUUUCAAGGACCUGAUUCCUCUAUCGCGAAUGGAAAGUCGAAGAAGCAGGAAUUGUCAAAUGAAACUGUGAUUUAUGCCCAUUUCUGCAAACUCGUUGGUAUGGUCGCUUCAUUUGCAAUUCUGAGAAUGGUUUUCAAGUCGAACGACUGACGAUCCGAGGCAAAGGAUGGAGAAAAUGUGGAACAAGUAACAAGAUACGUUUACGCGGUUUUCGAUUUUCUCUGUUGAUCAGUUUCCUCUUCAAAAGUAAUACUGACUCUUAGGCACACGUUAUGAAUGUGUGUGUUUUUUAAAAAUAUUUUCUAAGUGAUUUCAGUUUUGGCAAAAUGAUAAAAAUCGUUUUACUUUCGUGUCACGUAUACCGGGCCACGUCUGUCGUUUCAAAGAAUCGCCACGCCGUCAUCCUAACAUACGUUUCUAGGUAAGAAUAAUACUGUUUGUGGUAGCACGAUUGGAUAUUGUUGAUGCAAAGGAAAAAAGGGAAAAUAAUUUAUUCGAGUAAAAUCGAUUGAUUUGACAAAAUUAUCGUGGAUAAUAUUCUUUUUCUACAAUUUUUAUUAAAAUUGUAACGGCAAACAUGUAAUAGCUUUGGUGUACUUUAGAUUUUAAACUACUUUAAAUUGUGACGUUUUGUAAAAAAUGUUUUACCUUCACAGUAUGGCGCAGCUUGCUGUAGUUUUGGAACAACAGACAUACAGAAAUAUGUUAUGUUUCAUGAGAUUCAUUAUAAAAAAUUUCACCUACAUUGCUUAAUCACCAUUUAAAUAUUUUUAAAAAUUUUAGAACUAUCUUUCAGUAUCUGGCAUAGUUUAAUUAGCUUCGUUAGAAUUGGGAACCAAAUCCAUUUACCAAGCUUUCCUAAUAAACGCCUGACAAAAAACAUUAAACAUUGGUACCACGAUAUUAUUUCAUACUUCUAUGUGCGCGAGGGAGAUCUAAAUAUACAUAAUGCAGGGAACUACAUAAACCUUUCAAAUUCCAGAAACGUUCAUGAAGAAAGAAAAAAAAAAAUUAGAA